CUGGCUCAGAACGAACGCUGGCGGCAGGCCUAACACAUGCAAGUCGAACGGAUCCUUCGGGAUUAGUGGCAGACGGGUGAGUAACGCGUGGGAAGCUACCUUGUGGUAGGGGACAACAGUUGGAAACGACUGCUAAUACCCUAUGAGCCCUAUGGGGGAAAGAUUUAUCGCCAUGAGAUGUGCCCGCGUUAGAUUAGCUAGUUGGUAAGGUAAUGGCUUACCAAGGCGACGAUCUAUAGCUGGUCUGAGAGGAUGAUCAGCCACACUGGGACUGAGACACGGCCCAGACUCCUACGGGAGGCAGCAGUGGGGAAUAUUGGACAAUGGGGGCAACCCUGAUCCAGCCAUGCCGCGUGUGUGAUGACGGCCUUAGGGUUGUAAAGCACUUUCAGCAGUGAAGAUAAUGACAUUAA
rnacentral:rRNA from 1 species